rnacentral:rRNA from 1 species
GAUGAAUGCUGGCGGCGUGCCUAAUACAUGCAAGUCGAGCGAACGGACGAGAAGCUUGCUUCUCUGAUGUUAGCGGCGGACGGGUGAGUAACACGUGGAUAACCUACCUAUAAGACUGGGAUAACUUCGGGAAACCGGAGCUAAUACCGGAUAAUAUUUUGAACCGCAUGGUUCAAAAGUGAAAGACGGUCUUUCUGUCACUUAUAGAUGGAUCCGCGCUGCAUUAGCUAGUUGGUAAGGUAACGGCUUACCAAGGCAACGAUGCAUAGCCGACCUGAGAGAGUGAUCAGCCACACUGGAACGGAGACACGGUCAAGACUCCUACGGGAGGCAGCAGUAGGGAAUCUUCCGCAAUGGGCGAAAGCCUGACGGAGCAACGCCGCGUGAGUGAUGAAGGUCUUCGGAUCGUAAAACUCUGUUAUUAGGGAAGAACAUAUGUGUAAGUAACUGUGCACAUCUUGACGGUACCUAAUCAGAAAGCCACGGCUAACUACGUG